rnacentral:rRNA from 1 species
GACGUAGGGCGCGAGCGUUGUCCGGAAUUACUGGGCGUAAAGCGUGCGUAGACGGUCAUGUAAGUCGGGUGUGAAAGCCCCGGGCUCAACCUGGGAAUUGCAUUCGAGACUGCAUGGCUAGGAUGCGGAAGAGGGAAGCGGAAUUUCCGGUGUAGCGGUGAAAUGCGUAGAUAUCGGAAGGAACACCAGUGGCGAAAGCGGCUUCCUGGUCCAGCAUCGACGUUCAGGCACGAAAGCGUGGGGAGCAAACAGG